GACGAACGCUGGCGGCGUGCUUAACACAUGCAAGUCGAACGGAAAGUCCCUUCUUUUGUGGGGUUCUCGAGUGGCGAACGGGUGAGUAACACGUGAGUAACCUGCCCUUGACUUGGGGAUAACUUCAGGAAACUGGGUCUAAUACCGGAUAGUAGCUCCAGGUGCAUGUAUGGGUUUGGAAGGUUUCGGCGGUUGGGGAUGGACUCGCGGCUUAUCAGCUUGUUGGUGGGGUAGUGGCUUACCAAGGCUUUGAAGGGUAGCCGGCCUGAGAGGGUGACCGGCCAAAUUGGGACUGAGAUACGGCCCAGAAUCCUACGGGAGGCAGGAGUGGGGAAUAAUGCAAAAUGGGCUGAAGACUGAUGCAGAAAAGUCGCGUGCGGGAUGACGGCCUUCGGGUUGUAAACCGCUUUCGCCUGUGACGAAGCGCGAGUGACGGUAAUGGGUAAAGAAGCACCGGCUAACUACGUG
rnacentral:rRNA from 1 species